UGGGGUAAUAUUUAAGUCUAAUCUGCCCAAUGAAAAUUUUUAAUGGCUGCAGUAAUUUGACUGUACAAAGGUAGCAUAAUAAUUAGUUUUUUAAUUGAAAGCUAGAAUGAAUGAUUGGACGAGAAAGAAGCUAUUUAAAAUUAAUAUACAUAGAAUUUUAUAUUUAAGUUAAAAAGCUUAAAUUUAUUUGAAAGACAAGAAGACCCUAUAGAGUUUAAUAUAUUAUUAAAUUUAAAAUUUUUAAUAUUUUUAUUUUUAAUUGCAAAAGUAUAUUUUAUUGGGGUAAUGUGAAAAUUUAAGUAACUUUUUUAUUAUAAUAACAAAAAUUUUUGUAUCAAUGAUCUUUAAUUAGGGAUUAUUAGAUUAAAUUACCUUAGGGAUAACAGCGUAAUUAUUUUGUAGAGUUCUUAUCGAUAAAAUAGAUUGCGACCUCGAUGUUGGAUUAAGAUAAAACUUUAAUGGAGAAAUUAAAGGUAUUAAGUCUGUUCGACUUUUAAAAUCUUACAUGAUC
rnacentral:rRNA from 1 species